GCCUACGGCCAUACCAGUCUGAAAGUGCCUGAUCUCGUCAGAUCUCAGAAGUCAUGCAGGCUUGGACCUGCUUAGUACUUGUAUGGGAGACCAACUAGGAACCUCAGGUACCGUAAGCU
rnacentral:rRNA from 1 species